rnacentral:rRNA from 1 species
GAUGAACGCUGGCGGCGUGCCUAAUACAUGCAAGUCGAGCGAACAGAUAAGGAGCUUGCUCCUUUGACGUUAGCGGCGGACGGGUGAGUAACACGUGGAUAACCUACCUAUAAGACUGGGAUAACUUCGGGAAACCGGAGCUAAUACCGGAUAACAUAUUGAACCGCAUGGUUCAAUAGUGAAAGGCGGCUUUGCUGUCACUUAUAGAUGGAUCCGCGCCGUAUUAGCUAGUUGGUAAGGUAACGGCUUACCAAGGCAACGAUACGUAGCCGACCUGAGAGGGUGAUCGGCCACACUGGAACUGAGACACGGUCCAGACUCCUACGGGAGGCAGCAGUAGGGAAUCUUCCGCAAUGGGCGAAAGCCUGACGGAGCAACGCCGCGUGAGUGAUGAAGGUCUUCGGAUUGUAAAACUCUGUUAUCAGGGAAGAACAAAUGUGUAAGUAACUGUGCACAUCUUGACGGUACCUGAUCAGAAAGCCACGGCUAACUACGUG